UGGAGAGAUUUUGUACAGUAUACAGUGUUGGAGAGGUUUUGUACAGUGUACAGUGUUGGAGAGGUUUUGUACAGUGUACAGUGUUGGAGAGGUUUUGUACAGUAUACAGUGUUGGAGAGGUUUUGUACAGUGUACAGUGUUGGAGAGGUUUUGUACAGUAUACAGUGUUGGAGAGAUUUUGUACAGUAUACAGUGUUGGAGAGGUUUUGUACAGUGUACAGUGUUGGAGAGGUUUUGUACAGUGUACAGUGUUGGAGAGGUUUUGUACAGU